rnacentral:rRNA from 1 species
CGGACGGGUGAGUAACACGUGGAUGACCUACCUAUAAGACUGGGAUAACUUCGGGAAACCGGAGCUAAUACCGAAUAAUAUAUUGAACCGCAUGGUUCAAUAGUGAAAGACGGUUUUGCUGUCACUUAUAGAUGGAUCCGCGCCGCAUUAGCUAGUUGGUAAGGUAACGGCUUACCAAGGCAACGAUGCGUAGCCGACCUGAGAGGGUGAUCGGCCACACUGGAACUGAGACACGGUCCAG